UACAGAGGUCCCGAGCGUUGUUCGGAUUCACUGGGCGUAAAGGGCUCGUAGGCGGCCAACUAAGUCAGACGUGAAAUCCCUCGGCUUAACCGGGGAACUGCGUCUGAUACUGGAUGGCUUGAAUCCGGGAGAGGGAUGCGGAAUUCCAGGUGUAGCGGUGAAAUGCGUAGAUAUCUGGAGGAACACCGGUGGCGAAGGCGGCAUCCUGGACCGGCAUUGACGCUGAGGAGCGAAAGCCAGGGGAGCAAACGGG
rnacentral:rRNA from 1 species